ACAUUAUUUAUAUUUCCUGAUAUUUUAAGUGUAUUGGUUAUGUAUAUUAGUUUCUAAAAUUGAAAGGAUAUUUUCUAAAAUUUAAAUUUGCUGGGCUAUUUGAGCGCGGAAGCGAAAAGAAGAUCAAAGAAUUGGUAAAGUAUGAAUCACAAUUGGCAUUGUUACGUACAUCUGUUUUUGUAUAGGUGACAUCAGAGAUGUGACGUCACGAAGUGGUGAUGACGCGACAGAAGAACCCACUUCACAAUGGUAUGUGACGUCACAGGACCAAGCGGGCCAUGAUAUAUUGCUAGAACAAAGAAGCGCCGAAAGAUAAAGCUACAGAAAAGAGAUCAAGACGAAGAACAAAGACGAAGACGCCGAUAAAGGAUAAAUGGUUUGAGGUUUUGAAAUUUAAAAACGUAAAAAUCUGCGUCAGUAUAUUAUAUGUACGAGUGUAUGUGUGUGUGUGUGCGGACUAUUGCACUCUUGCAGUGUUGCCCGAUGUUUUUAUCUGCUGGA